rnacentral:rRNA from 1 species
CGAACGGUAACAGGUCUUCGGAUGCUGACGAGUGGCGAACGGGUGAGUAAUACAUCGGAACGUGCCUAGUAGUGGGGGAUAACUACUCGAAAGAGUAGCUAAUACCGCAUGAGAUCUACGGAUGAAAGCAGGGGACCUUCGGGCCUUGUGCUACUAGAGCGGCUGAUGGCAGAUUAGGUAGUUGGUGGGGUAAAGGCUUACCAAGCCUGCGAUCUGUAGCUGGUCUGAGAGGACGACCAGCCACACUGGGACUGAGACACGGCCCAGACUCCUACGGGAGGCAGCAGUGGGGAAUUUUGGACAAUGGGCGAAAGCCUGAUCCAGCAAUGCCGCGUGCAGGAUGAAGGCCCUCGGGUUGUAAACUGCUUUUGUACGGAAUGAAAAGCCUGGGGCUAAUAUCCCCGGGUCAUGACGGUACCGUAAGAAUAAGCACCGGCUAACUACGUGCCAGCAGCCGCGGUAAUACGUAGGGUGCAAGCGUUAAUCGGAAUUACUGGGCGUAAAGCGUGCGCAGGCGGUUUUGUAAGACAGUGGUGAAAUCCCCGGGCUCAACCUGGGAACUGCCAUUGUGACUGCAAGGCUAGAGUGCGGCAGAGGGGGAUGGAAUUCCGCGUGUAGCAGUGAAAUGCGUAGAUAUGCGGAGGAACACCGAUGGCGAAGGCAAUCCCCUGGGCCUGCACUGACGCUCAUGCAC